GACGAACGCUGGCGGCGUGCUUAACACAUGCAAGUCGAACGGAAAGGCCCUGCUUUUGUUGGGUGCUCGAGUGGCGAACGGGUGAGUAACACGUGAGUAACCUGCCCUUGACUUUGGGAUAACUUCAGGAAACUGGGGCUAAUACCGGAUAGGAGCUCCUGCUGCAUGGUGGGGGUUGGAAAGUUUCGGCGGUUGGGGAUGGACUCGCGGCUUAUCAGCUUGUUGGUGGGGUAGUGGCUUACCAAGGCUUUGACGGGUAGCCGGCCUGAGAGGGUGACCGGCCACAUUGGGACUGAGAUACGGACCAGACUCCUACGGGAGGCAGCAGUGGGGAAUAUUGCACAAUGGGCGGAAGCCUGAUGCAGCAACGCAGCGUGCGGGAUGACGGCCUUCGGGUUGUAAACCGCUUUCGCCUGUGACGAAGCGUGAGUGACGGUAAUGGGUAAAGAAGCACCGGCUAACUACGUG
rnacentral:rRNA from 1 species